GAUUCUAUAGGUAUUAACCCAACUCAUAAGUCCAAUUUUGCUAGAACACCCUACAAUUAAUUAUGGCCAAUAUACCCUUAAAUAAAAUAGGAAAUUUUUAAUUUUAAAUCAAUAAAUAGCAAAUUUAUUCCCCGUCAACCCAUCUAGCAAAAAUAGGGCCGCGAUUAUCUCGAUCGUUGAAUCUCUCCUAGAAACAAAAAAAUUCUCUCCCUUUUUAUGCGAAACAAAUACUGUAAUCCUAGAAAAAAUCGUGAAAUUGAUUUUUCUAAUAUAUCGUUGUUCUCGACGUCUCGUAGAUGUAAAUCUCAAAAAAAAAACGAGAGACAAUGAUUAAAGAUGGAAAAAGUACAGUUUACUGUCGCUACAACUAUAGGCCAGAAGAAAA